rnacentral:misc_RNA from 1 species
AAAUAUAUAACCGGGAGUUCGUUUUCCGUUCUCCGGGAUAUUUGUAUUCAAAUUUCCACUCUUUAUAAAUAUAACAAUUAUAAAACAAAUAAAAAAUGA